rnacentral:rRNA from 1 species
AUUGAACGCUGGCGGCAUGCCUUACACAUGCAAGUCGAACGGCAGCGGGGGAGAAGCUUGCUUUUCCUGCCGGCGAGUGGCGAACGGGUGAGUAAUACAUCGGAACGUGCCCUGUAGUGGGGGAUAACUAGUCGAAAGAUUAGCUAAUACCGCAUACGACCUGAGGGUGAAAGUGGGGGACCGCAAGGCCUCAUGCUAUAGGAGCGGCCGAUGUCUGAUUAGCUAGUUGGUGGGGUAAAGGCCUACCAAGGCGACGAUCAGUAGCUGGUCUGAGAGGACGAUCAGCCACACUGGGACUGAGACACGGCCCAGACUCCUACGGGAGGCAGCAGUGGGGAAUUUUGGACAAUGGGCGAAAGCCUGAUCCAGCAAUGCCGCGUGUGUGAAGAAGGCCUUCGGGUUGUAAAGCACUUUUGUCCGGAAAGAAAUGGUUCCGGUUAAUACCUGGGGUCGAUGACGGUACCGGAAGAAUAAGGACCGGCUAACUACGUGCCAGCCGCCGCAGUAA